UACGUAGGGCGCAAGCGUUGUCCGGAAUCAUUGGGCGUAAAGAGCGCGUAGGCGGCCAGAUAAGUCCGGUGUGAAAGUCACAGGCUCAACCUGUGAAUGCCGCAGGAAACUGUCUGGCUUGAGUCCAGAAGGGGCGAGUGGAAUUCUUGGUGUAGCGGUGAAAUGCGUAGAUAUCAAGAGGAACACCUGAGGUGAAGACGGGUUGCUGGGCCAACACUGACGCUGAGGCGCGAAAGCCAGGGAGCAAACGGG
rnacentral:rRNA from 1 species